AGUGAACGCUGGCGGUAGGCCUAACACAUGCAAGUCGAACGGCAGCACAGUAAGAGCUUGCUCUUACGGGUGGCGAGUGGCGGACGGGUGAGGAAUACAUCGGAAUCUACUUUUUCGUGGGGGAUAACGUAGGGAAACUUACGCUAAUACCGCAUACGACCUACGGGUGAAAGCAGGGGAUCUUCGGACCUUGCGCGAUUGAAUGAGCCGAUGUCGGAUUAGCUAGUUGGCGGGGUAAAGGCCCACCAAGGCGACGAUCCGUAGCUGGUCUGAGAGGAUGAUGAGCCACACUGGAACUGAGACACGGUCCAGACUCCUACGGGCGGCCCCAGUGGGGAAUAUUGGACAAUGGGCGCAAGCCUGCUCCAGCCAUACCGCGUGGGUGCAGCAGGCCUUCGUGUUGGAUAGCCCUUUUGUUGGGAAAGAAAAGCAGCAGGUUAGUCCCCCGCUGUUCUGACGGUACCCAAAGAAUAAGCACCGGCUAACUUCGUG
rnacentral:rRNA from 1 species